GCUCAGGAUGAACGCUAGCUACAGGCUUAACACAUGCAAGUCGAGGGGCAGCAUGAACUUAGCUUGCUAAGUUUGAUGGCGACCGGCGCACGGGUGAGUAACACGUAUCCAACCUGCCGAUGACUCGGGGAUAGCCUUUCGAAAGAAAGAUUAAUACCCGAUGGCAUAAUUCUUCCGCAUGGUAGAACUAUUAAAGAAUUUCGGUCAUCGAUGGGGAUGCGUUCCAUUAGGUUGUUGGCGGGGUAACGGCCCACCAAGCCUUCGAUGGAUAGGGGUUCUGAGAGGAAGGUCCCCCACAUUGGAACUGAGACACGGUCCAAACUCCUACGGGAGGCAGCAGUGAGGAAUAUUGGUCAAUGGGCGAGAGCCUGAACCAGCCAAGUAGCGUGAAGGAUGACUGCCCUAUGGGUUGUAAACUUCUUUUAUAAAGGAAUAAAGUCGGGUAUGCAUACCCGUUUGCAUGUACUUUAUGAAUAAGGAUCGGCUAACUCCGUGCCAGCAGCCGCGGUAAUACGGAGGAUCCGAGCGUUAUCCGGAUUUAUUGGGUUUAAAGGGAGCGUAGGCGGACGCUUAAGUCAGUUGUGAAAGUUUGCGGCUCAACCGUAAAAUUGCAGUUGAUACUGGGUGUCUUGAGUACAGUAGAGGCAGGCGGAAUUCGUGGUGUAGCGGUGAAAUGCUUAGAUAUCACGAAGAACUCCGAUUGCGAAGGCAGCUCACUGGACUGCAACUGACACUGAUGCUCGAAAGUGUGGGUAUCAAACAGGAUUAGAUACCCUGGUAGUCCACACAGUAAACGAUGAAUACUCGCUGUUUGCGAUAUACAGUAAGCGGCCAAGCGAAAGCGUUAAGUAUUCCACCUGGGGAGUACGCCGGCAACGGUGAAACUCAAAGGAAUUGACGGGGGCCC
rnacentral:rRNA from 1 species